rnacentral:tRNA from 1 species
GGAUUGUAGCCCAGUGGUCGAGUGCUUGCCUAGCAUGUGAGAGGUCCUGGGUUCGAUUCUCAGUACCA